AGAGUUUGAUCCUGGCUCAGGAUGAACGCUAGCUACAGGCUUAACACAUGCAAGUCGAGGGGCAGCAUGGUCUUAGCUUGCUAAGGCUGAUGGCGACCGGCGCACGGGUGAGUAACACGUAUCCAACCUGCCGUCUACUCUUGGCCAGCCUUCUGAAAGGAAGAUUAAUCCAGGAUGGGAUCAUGAGUUCACAUGUCCGCAUGAUUAAAGGUAUUUUCCGGUAGACGAUGGGGAUGCGUUCCAUUAGAUAGUAGGCGGGGUAACGGCCCACCUAGUCAACGAUGGAUAGGGGUUCUGAGAGGAAGGUCCCCCACAUUGGAACUGAGACACGGUCCAAACUCCUACGGGAGGCAGCAGUGAGGAAUAUUGGUCAAUGGGCGAUGGCCUGAACCAGCCAAGUAGCGUGAAGGAUGACUGCCCUAUGGGUUGUAAACUUCUUUUAUAAAGGAAUAAAGUCGGGUAUGCAUACCCGUUUGCAUGUACUUUAUGAAUAAGGAUCGGCUAACUCCGUGCCAGCAGCCGCGGUAAUACGGAGGAUCCGAGCGUUAUCCGGAUUUAUUGGGUUUAAAGGGAGCGUAGAUGGAUGUUUAAGUCAGUUGUGAAAGUUUGCGGCUCAACCGUAAAAUUGCAGUUGAUACUGGAUGUCUUGAGUGCAGUUGAGGCAGGCGGAAUUCGUGGUGUAGCGGUGAAAUGCUUAGAUAUCACGAAGAACUCCGAUUGCGAAGGCAGCCUGCUAAGCUGCAACUGACAUUGAGGCUCGAAAGUGUUGGUAUCAAACAGGAUUAGAUACCCUGGUAGUCCACACGGUAAACGAUGA
rnacentral:rRNA from 1 species